rnacentral:piRNA from 1 species
UACUCAUUGGACCUAAGCAGGCUGCCCCC